AGUUGCGGUAGAGCGAGUGACAGUAUGCUACUCUUACCUCGUAAAAUAAAGUCUGGGGGUCCAAAAAGGAAAGAGAAAAAGAUUUAACAACAGAUGAGUCAGCAGCAGCCCUGUCUCCCCAUGACUUUAUCCCUCCCACUGAAGAAGAUUUCAGAUGGAUGUUUUCAUCAAGAGUAAAGAUCCUAAGGGCACGUGGACACGCUCUUCUGCAGGAGCACCAAAACAACAGCAAAGAGAGUCCCAGGAUGCAUCAAUCAAAACAGAUUUCCCAAACAGGAAAUGAAAGGGCUUGUUAGCAGAGGAACAGCAAGGCAGGGGAAGACGGAGAUCAGAGAGCCAGUGUUGAGGCUGACAACGGCCCCAGUCUGCAUGAACCAUCACAACCCAGCCAGACAGCAAGCCUGCAUAAAUCCACAAGAAGGUCACAUUUCUGCUUGCCUUCAUUAGUGUUUACUGGCUUUAACAACAUGGGUCAGAGCAGAGAUUGUUGGAUGCCAAACCAAUUUAGGUGCUUUUGGUGAGACAUUGCAAAGCCAGCUGUGGUGAGGCUAAAAAGAUGCUGGCACUGAGGGGCGAGGUGUUACCACAUUUAAAUGAAGAUGAAAAUGGAGCGUGCGGGGCCGGGUUGUACAAACACUCAAAUCAAGAUAUGAGAUUUUUUUUUUUUAAGUCAGCUUGGUCUUUCGGCUCAUGUUUUCAGCAGUCAGUUGGGAUAAAAUGAUGGGCUUGAGUCACGGCAGUCAGCAUACAGUAACAACUGGGAAAUACCCCAAAUUGGAAAAUCCCUGCAACUUCCCCUUCUGCUUUAUCGCCUGUGUAAAGAGUUGACACUGAAAUAUGGUUUGUCAGUGUAUUUUCUUUGGGUAGUGGACCAUAGCCCUGCUUAAAUCAACUAAGAUAUAUUGGAUUUUGAUCAAAUGCUGGAAAAGUGGUACAGGCAUUCUGUGCUUAUUUUAACUAUAAGGCUGGAUACACAAAUCCGAUGUGGCGUUGUAAUGACACACACACGCACACACGUCUGCACAUUCCCCUCUACUCAGUGAAUAGUUACUGGGCUGAUGCUCAGAGAGCUGUUGCCUUGUCCAAGGUCAAACACCCACUGUUCUGUUCCACUCAGCUGUGUAACCAUAACAGCUUAAUGACAUGCUAUUAGACGGCUAUCACACUUAAAGCAUCAUGUUCACGCCGCAACCACUGCCUGAGUCCCACACGCACAGUUAGAUAUACCAGCUUUAGGCCCUAAUCCUGCUAAUUUGACUUUGGAACUCGGAGCGUAAAUGGAGGCAGGCACUGCAGGAAGUAUUGCCGUUCACUUAAAUAUGUCUGGUUAUUUCAUUGUGGUGUGCAUGUAGAUUCUAGUAUUUCUUCCAUGAAAUAGUAUUAAUGUAUU